rnacentral:lncRNA from 1 species
GUCCUAUAUGCCUCACUUAUCUGUAUGUCAAGCUCUUUUCCCCUGCUUGGGAAGUUUUCUGCCAUUAUUUCUGUGAAGAGGUUUUUUUAUGUCAUCUGCACUCUCUCCUGUUUCUUCAUUGAGCCCAAUCAGUCUUAUGUUAUUCUUUUUUGCAUCAUCUAGCAGCUGCUGGAUUGAUUUCUCAUGUUCCCUUAUAAUUUUGAAGCAAUUUUUCUUUUCCUGGUCACUAAUUGCAAUCUUAUCUUCUAUAUCUGAAAUUCUGUCCUCACAUUGGCUCAUUCUGCUGUGUAGACUUUCAUUGGAGUUUUUCAUGUCCUGGAAAUCUAUUUGCAUCUGUUUUAUGGAUUCCAUUUGUUUCUUAUGUUGGGAUUCCAUCAUGUUCCUCAGCUCCUCUCUAGAUUUAUUAACCAUGUCUUGCACUAGGGGCACAAUUUCUCCUGUUAUCUGAGAAAUUAUUUCUGAUUUCAUUUUUUCCAGAUCCCCUUUUGUUGCCAGUUCAGUGGGUCCAGGUAGUUGAGUAUCAGAGUGUUUCAUCUCAUUUCCCUUUGGGGCUGCUGUAGGUGACCUGGAAGUCUGGUUUUGAGACUUAUUUAUGUGUUUUCUCAUUUCAAGUGGGGCAGGGGGCUGUUAGCGCCUGCACAGAUUACCUCCUCUGAGCUGGAUGAGGUGGGGCAGGGGCCGGGAGCAGCGGUAGGGAUGGUGACCCUAAAGCCCUUUCCUGUGGGCUGGAAGCAGCCGGAGGGAUGGUGGCCAGGAAACCCCUUCCUCUGGACCAGGAGCAGUGGGAUGAUGGCUCAGAAGCCCCUCCCUCUGGGCUGGGAAUGGUGGGAGGGAUGGUUGCCUGGAAGCCCCUUCCUCUGGGCCAGGAGCAGCGGGACAGAAGGUGGCCCAAAAGCUCCUUCCUCUGGACCGGGAGCAGUGGGACAAUGGCUCAGAAGCCCCUACCUCUGGGCCGGGAACCGUGGGACUCAGUACCUUGGUCUGGUGGUCUGGUGCCCUCUGCGUCUUUGUAGUGUGGAAUCAGGUGGCUGCCUGUCUGCAGCGGGGUGAUUCAGUGUCUUCCCUGCGACUCAGGACUUCGGUAGGGCGUGGGCAGACCUGCCUGUCUGCAGCGGGCUGAUUCGGCGUGUUCUGUGCUACUCAGGACUUCGGUAGGGCAUCAACUUAGCGUAUCUUGAUGGGAAAAAAAUAGAUCUUAUGGAAGCAAGAGGUCAUAAAAUCUUACAGGAACAAAGUUAACAACAGCCAUAAGGUGGGGUGAAGUCUGAGGAGGAACUGCUUAGGGUUGGGGAGACUUGUUUUUCCUUUUCUUUAAAGUUUUGCUUUAGUAAGCUAUGUUAUUUAAAAACCUGAGAUAAAAAUUGGUAUUCAAGCAAAGAACUAUGUCUCAAUUGGCAAUGAAUAUGCCCUCUGUGUACUGAUUUGCUCCAUUGAGGAGACACAAUUUCACAUCUCUACACAGUCACCCACUUGCUGUUAUUCUGACCCUAACCCUAACCCUUUAAGAAACAGCAAGAAAUAUGGUAUCUCUUGUGAGUUUAUCAGAAGGUAGCUUUUCAAAUUUGAAAUAGCCUCACUGAUGCAUUUAGUGAUUUGGGCGUUUUUGUUUGUUUGUUUGCAGUCUGUCCCUGGAUAAUGUGUCAGAACAUGUAGAAUACAGUUUACCUCUGAUAUUUGUAUCUGUGCUCAGAUGAGAUCAAAGCACUACCUCUGUGUGUGUGCCUGGAGGUCUUACAGUUUGGGGACCUAGCUUGCCACAGGCUGGGAACUGAGGAGAAUCAAAGCUAGAAGGCCCCAUCCAGCAGCUGAUGCAGCCAAUCACAUGGAAGUGAAAGCCAGAGUGUGCUCAUCUGUAAUCCCAGAUGCUCAGGAGGCUGAUGGAAGAAGAAUCCCAUAUGAUGUGAGACAUUUCUACAUACCAAAAUAUUUCAAAGGUAGAUGCCCAAAAGAAAAGAAAGCAUAUAUUCAAACAAAAAGGGAUAUGUUGUCCACAUCUGUCAAAGUCAUGGCAAUGAAAGAGUCCUGGCAUGAGUUCCAGAAAAGAAAACUGGAUCCCAAUAAAAAAAGGAUUUUUGUCUCAUCCAAGAGAGACAGUGUCUAGUGGAUGCAUCUUAUCCUUUCAUCCCACUUGUGAGUUAUAAAUAAAAAUUAUUCUGCCUCGCAAGCGCAAGGACCCAAGUUUGAUCCCCGGUACCAAAAAGAAAAAUAAAUAAAUAAAUAAAAAUUAUUUUUACAAGCUCCAUCUUUUAAGUAUUAUGUGGUCUUUCUGGAUUUCAGACUACUCUCCAUCAAGAAACUAAUAACAGCCCCACAGCCACUAAUGAUCUUACUGUCGUACAAAUCACAAGUUUCAUGUAAGACCUUUCGAGGGGCAUUGAAUUUCUUGUAUUAGAAUUCCUAAACUAUGAUCCAAUGAUGUAAUAUUCUGGGUGCUUUCAUAGUUCCUGUGAUGUGACAGGCUGUGCAGAAGACCCACAGUAAAUUUGUCCCUAGAGUUCACCUAAAAUAUCACUAUAUUCAACAUAACACAAUUUGAAUUAAACAAUUAGAGGAAUGCAGUUGAACAUCCAGAAGAUUAAACCGUAAGGAAGGUACACUUAUUUGAAAGGGAGAGGUACUAAUAAAUGAUUAGGAUUUGACUAGAGAAAUAGGUGGGUCUAUAGUGCCGGGAGAGGAUCAAGAGUUUGUUCUAGAAAGGUAAACAGAAUAUGAAAAUCCCUGGGCACGGAGCACCUCAUGACAAUAUCCAGCUGGGAUGAUGAGGG